GAGAGCGGCGGCGCCUCUGCGCUCAAGUGACGGCGCCUUUGUCUCCGCUGAAUGGGUUUCUAGAGAGUGGCUGGGAAACUCGUCGCCAAACCCUGCCCAGCUCAGCUCUGCUGGGACCCCAGACCCCAGAACGGCGCAGCGGGAGUCCCUGAGCCCCAACAGCGGCCCCAGCUCCCGUGGCCUCAGCCUCUGGCUUUCCCUAAAGGACUGUGGGCCUCAGCCCCCUGUUCCCCUAGCCCACCAGGUCCCCAGGCUCUUUCCCCCAGUCUUUGCCUAUCUGUGAUCUGCUCCUUCCCCCAUGCUCCGAAGUUCCAACGGGCUCUGCCGUGUCUGGUAAUAAAUAGGAC
rnacentral:lncRNA from 1 species